rnacentral:rRNA from 1 species
AGAGAGAGACAUGCGCGCAUAUCAAUAAGCGGAGGAAAAGAAACUGACAAGGAUUCCCCUAGUAACGGCGAGUGAAGCGGGAAGAGCUCAAAUUUGAAAUCUUAAAGGGUUUCCCUUUACGAAUUGUAGUUUAAAGAAGUGUUUUCUGUUGAGGUUUAGGUAAAAGUUCUUUGGAAUAGGACAUCAUAGAGGGUGAGAAUCCCGUAUUUGACCUUUACUUUCAACUUUGUGAUACACUUUCAAAGAGUCGGAUUGUUUGGGAAUGCAGUCCAAAAUGGGUGGUAAAUUUCAUCUAAAGCUAAAUAUUGGCGAGAGACCGAUAGCGAACAAGUACCGUGAGGGAAAGAUGAAAAGAACUUUGAAAAGAGAGUUAAACAGUACGUGAAAUUGUCAAAAGGGAAGCGUUUGACACCAGUGUUGUUUUUCUGAAAAUCAAUUAAAGAACUGUUUAUGCUAAGUUGUUUAGACUUUAUCAGCUAACUGUUUAGUUUUGAGCUUUUCUUUAAUGCACUUUUCAGUUAACAAGUCAACAUCAAUUUCUUUUGCUGUAAAAAAGCUUGAGGAAGGUGGCUUGAGAUUCGUCUUAAGUGUUUAUAGCCUCUUGCCUAUGCAGUCGGAGAGAUUGAGGUCUGCAGCGUAGAUCCUUCGGGGCUAAAUGCAUUUGUGCUAAGUUAUAGCAUUUUAUAGACAACUUGUUGACUAUGAUUUGUCUUGUAGCUUACUCGCUUAUGUUAUUUUACCUACGCUUAGGAUGUUGAGCGCAUGUCUCUUCU